rnacentral:rRNA from 1 species
CAGUAGCCACGGUAAUACAGAGGGUGCGAGCGUUAAUCGGAUUUACUGGGCGUAAAGCGUGCGUAGGCGGCUUUUUAAGUCGGAUGUGAAAUCCCUGAGCUUAACUUAGGAAUUGCAUUCGAUACUGGGAAGCUAGAGUAUGGGAGAGGAUGGUAGAAUUCCAGGUGUAGCGGUGAAAUGCGUAGAGAUCUGGAGGAAUACCGAUGGCGAAGGCAGCCAUCUGGCCUAAUACUGAUGCUGAGGUACGAAAGCAUGGGGAGCAAACAGGAUUAGAUACCCCGUAGUCCCUGUCUCUUAUACA